UCUUGCAUAUCCCAAAAAAGCACUGGUACUCUCUAAAUCCAGAGGGCUCUUUUGGCCGGCACCAUCAUUCUUUUUCCAACCGCCUUGUGCGUAAGAGCUUCCAUAUUAUUUUGUGCUUCGCUACUUUUUGCUUCCAUGGCUGAACCUGAACCUCAGGUCGUGGAACCCGUGGCUCCCAUUCAAGGUCAGUAUAUGAUAAAAAAUAAAUAAAUAAAUGAAUAAAGUAUUAAUUAUCUUUUUUUUUUUAAAGUAAACUUUAUUUGGCUACUUUUAGUUAAUUAAUUUAUUUUGAAAAUUUUUGCCAAAUAUGGAUGGGGUUUUUCUGAUUUUAUUUUCUUAGUGGUAGAAUUUUAUUUUAUUUUAAAAAAUAAUAUUUUUUUACUUAAUUUAUAUAUAUUUUUGGAUAAUUUUUAUUAUUAUUUUUUUCUGGAUGAUGUUAUAUUAUACCAUUGGAAAACGGAAGUCGGGAUUGGAAAAAUAAGACAAAAGUUCCGAUCCUUCUAAAGGGGAUUGGGAUAGGAAUGAGGCCUUCAAAUCGCCACAGAAAUGAAGGUUACCUUGGCCCAUUGCCAUACCUAAAUUAAAGGCACGGAACCAAACUUGGGAUCCAUGGUUAGAUAAUAGAGGUCAUAUUAAUUUUGUUUUUGUUUUAUUUGAAAUUUGAUUAAAAUUAGUAAGCAUCCACUAUACUGUUUUAUGAGGUGAGGCAGUAAAAUAAGAUGCUAUUAUUUUAUUAAUUUAUAUUUAUUUAUAUUUAUUUUUUUAAAAAUGUAUUUAUUUAUUUAUGUAUAAACUAAAAUGGAGUAGAAGCUUGGGUGUCUUUGAGUGACAAAGAAAUGAAAUAUUUUGAAUCUGAUCCUGAGCUUCUUGAAUUUGCUUCCUUAAAUCCAAGUGUUAAAUCUCUCCAGGCUCCAAACGGUGCUGAAUUCAAGUAUCAAAGGGCUAUUAGUACCAGUUAUGAUUUAUAAUAGUUCCAGAAGGGGAUUUAGAACAACCAAACUCCUUUGAUCUGUCUUUCCAAAGUUGAAGAUUACAAAGAGGUACCUGCAAAUGCUGGAAGAGAGAGAUUCAAGAUAUAUUAUGGAAAAAUUAUUCCAGCAAGAAGAGGAUAUAAACUUGAAAUUUGUUAAAAGCUUUUUACAUCUAGAUAGUAUACCAAGAUGGCAAACAAAAUUAAUUUUCUGUCACUUGGCCAUUUUGAGCUACAUUGAUUUUGAUUCAGACCACAUUCAAUGGCUCUAAGUUCCAACCAUUUAGAAAUAAGGAAUCUUUAACUUCAUUAUCAACGUUUGAACCUUAAAUAGCUAUUUCUAGUACUCUGUUUUCCUUUUUU